rnacentral:lncRNA from 1 species
GCCCAGAGCAGCUCGGAAGAUAAAAUAACAGUCCACUUUAUAAACCAACAGUGAAACAUUAACAAACAAAGGAAAAGUUGAUGACUCUUUGCUAGAUGUUGUGGUUGAAAAUAAUGUAGAUAUUGAUGGGUUUGUUGCAUGGCAGGGAACCUUGGCUUGCUCUGUCACCUCAUUUUUGAAAAGCACAUAUUUGAGAAGUUAGACACAAUCACUGACAAGGAGAUUGACAUGCUUGAUCUGGCAUAUGGACUGACAGACAGGUCAGAGUUGUAUUGCCAAAUCUGUUUGACAAAAUCUAUGGGCCAUAUGACUGUCUGAGUACCUGAUGGAGUGGCCAGUGCCAGACAAUCCACUGAUAUGGGCAAGACCACCUAA